rfam:Brachypodium distachyon strain Bd21 chromosome 4, whole genome shotgun sequence.
GGAUGCGAUCAUACCAGCACUAAAGCACCGGAUCCCAUCAGAACUCCGAAGUUUAAGCGUGCUUGGGCGAGAGUACAAUUAGGAUGGGUGACCUCCUGGGAAGUCCUCGAGUUGCAUUCC